GGGGGGAGCGCGGUGGUGAUCAAUGGGCCUAGUCCAGAAGACUCUGUCUGUAUGUCCCAUAGGGAGGUCACAAAGAAGUCCUUAUUGAGGGCAGAUAUCUGGACUCACCACAUUCAGUAACUGGGAGAGAGCUGAGAACUGGAAAUUUGGUUGGCAGAGAUUCAGACAGAGUAUCCAUCUUGACAAGUCCUUUCAGAAACAGUAGCAGGGAGAAAGUGGAUAUAGAGAAUCAUGCACUAAGCUUCGAAAGUUUAUAAGCAAAAGUGCCAUGGGUUUCUUCUACUCAGACUCCAAUGUCCAGGGGCUUUAUGAUAGCUGACAAGAAGCACUUUGUACUCAACUCCUCCACUAGAAGCACCAAAAUUAUGAAUAGAUUAUCACACCUCAAAUCGAUGAAACAAGAGAAAAUGGAAAUUCAAUGGAAAAGUGACAGACAAUAAUUAAAGCAAAGGAGAAGGAAGCAAGGCAGCUUGCAAGGCCAGCAGUGGCUGAGAGCUGAGAGAUACUCCCCAGUAUGGAGAAAGAGUAAGCGAAAUACCCUCAGAGGUUUACGUUUGCAUCAUGUACUCUGGCAAUCCUAGCCAUAGGAAAGACCCUUAACCCUUGGAGGACCCUGAAACUAACAUAAAGAGCUAGAAGGAAAUUGUGUGAAGGCACUGCACCAAUGAGGAAGGUAGCACUGAGUCCCACACAUUCUCUGAGACCACAGCAGCUACAGCAAGGCACCAUUUUAGAGCCCCGUCUUCAACAGACUGCUCACUGUGCUAGAGUCCAACAUCACUGGCGCUGAGGCACAAGAGACGUGACAGCUGCUGCCACCAGGCCUUAGGUGCAAGCAACCAUGGUUGACCACACCUGAGACUGAGCAGCAAGCAAGGCUCCCCAAUAACUGCACUUCACCUGUAAAGACAUAUAAAGUCUGAAAAUAAAGGAAUGACAAAAGAUAUUUCACGUAAAUGCAAGCUAGCAGGACUAGCUCUAGUUAGAGUAGAUAAAACAGACUCCAAGUUAAAAGCAGUUAAGAAAAAAAAAAGAAAAAGAGGACAAUGAAGGGCAUCAUAUAAUGAUAAAAGGAAAAAUCUGGCAAAAGGAUAUAACAAUUCUAAAUAUGUAUGCACCCAACACUGGAGCACCCAGAUUAAUAAAGCAUAUAUUCCUAGAUCUAAAGAGAGAGACAGACUGCAAUACAAUAAUAGUGGAGGACGUUAACAAUGCACUAGCAGCAUUAAACAGAUCAUCUAGACAGAAAAUCAAAAAAGAAACAUUGAAUGUAAACUGGAUCUUAGACCAAAGGGACCUAACAGACAUUUACAGAACAUUUUAUCCAAUAACUGCAAAAUAUACUACACAUUCUUCUCAUCACUACAUGGAACAUUCUCCAGGAUAGGCCAUAUGUUAUUCUUCAAAGCAGUUUCAACACAUUUUAAAAAAUUAUAUUAUCUUCUAAGAACACAAUGGAAUAUAACUAGAUAUCAACACGACGAGGAACUUUUGAAACUGUACAAAUACAUGGAUGUGAAAUAACACGCUCCUGAACAGCCAUUGGGUCAAUGAAUAAAUUAAUAUAAAAAUAAAAAAAAAUUAUCACAAACGAAAAUGGAAACACAACAUACCGAAAACUAUGGGAUUCAACAAAAGCAGUACUAAGAGGGGAAUUUGUAGCAAUAAACAUGUAUAUCAAAAGAAUAGAAAAUUUUCAAAUAGUAUAACAAUGCACCUCAAGGAAUUAGAGUAGCAUGAACCAGACAAAGCCGAAAUUAGCAAAAGGAAAGAAAUAAUAAAGAUCAAAGCAGAACUAAAUGAAAUAGACAUUAAAAAACACACAAGUUCAGUGAAAAGUUGAUUCUUUGAAAGGAUAAAAAAAAAUGAUUAAAUGUUAGCUAGACUAACCAGGAAAAGACCCAAAUAAACAAAAUCAGAAAUGAAAAAAGCAACAUUGCAACUAAUACUACAGAAAUACAAAAUAUCAUCAGAGAUUAUGAACAACUAUGUAUUAAAAUAGUGGAAAACAUAGAGAAAAUGGGUAUAUUUCUGUAAACAUACAACCUAUCAAGAUUAUAUGAGAAAGAAAUAGAAAAUCUGAACAGAUCAAUAAUGAGUAGUGAUAUUAAAUCACUGAUAAAAAAUCUUUCAACAAAUAAAAGCUCAUGGCUGAAUGGAUUCACUAUGGAAUUCUACCAAACAUAGAAAAAGGAAAUAGUACCAAUCCUUCUCAAAGUAUUUCAAAAAACUGAAGAGGAGAGAAUUCUUUCUAACUCAUUGUAAGAGGCCAGCAUUCCCCUGAUACCAAACUAACCAGAGGCCUAACAACAACAAAAAUACUUACAGGUCAAUAUCCCUCAUGAAGAUAGAUGCAAAAAUUUUCAAUAACAUAAUAGCAAAUAAAAUUCAGCAGGACAUCAAAAAGAUAAUACAUCAUGAUCUAUUGGGAUUUUUCUUAAGGAUUCAAGGAUGGUUUAACAUAUGCAAAUCUAUUGAAGGGAUGUAUCACAUCAUGAAAAUGAAGACAGAAACAUAUACUCACAAUAGAUGUAGAAAAAGCAUUUGAUAAAAUUCAACAUCUCUUCAUGACAAAAACUCAAUGAACUAGACAUAUGAGAAACAUACCUCAGAAUAAUAAAGGCUACAUAUGACAAAUCCACAGCUAAUGUCAUUCUGAAUGGGAAAGGUUGAGAGUCUUUCCUCUAAGCACUAGAAUAAAACAAGAAUGUUCACUUUCAUCACUCUUUUUCAACUUAGUAUUAGGAAGUCCUAGACAGUCCAAUCAGGCAAAACAAAAAAUAAAAGAUAUCCAAAUUGGAAAAGACAAUGUUAAAUAGUUCCUAUCUGCAGAUGAAAUAAUGUUAUAUUUACAAAAACCUAAAGACUACACCAAAAUAACUCUUAGUGCUUAAAAAUAAAUUCAGUACAGUUGCAGAAGACAAAAUUAACAUAUACAAGUUAAUAACAUUUCUAUACAAUAAUUAAAUAGUUGAAAAAUAAAUCAAGUUGGUAAUCCUAUUUCCAGUAGCUACAAUAAAAACAAAAUACCUAGGAAUAAAUUUAACUAAGGAGGUAAAAGAUCUGUUCAAGGAAAACUAUAAGACAUUGAUGAAAAAAUUGAACAAACAAAUGAAAAGACAUCUUAUAGUCAUGGAUAAGAAGAAUUAAUAUCCUUGAAAUGACCAUACUACCCCAAAUAAAAUACACAUUCAAUGCCCUCCCUAUCAAAAUACCAUUGUCAUUUUUCACAGAAAUAGAAAAGCAAUCCUAAAAUUUUUAUGGAACCAAGAUGUAGUCGGAAUAGCCAAAGCAAUCCUAAGCAAAAAGAACGAAGUUCAAAACCUCACACAAACUGACUUCAGAUUAUAAGGCUAUAAUAAUCAAAACAGCAUGGCAUUGGUAUAGAAAUAGACACAAUGGGACAGAAUAAAGCACCCAGAAAUAAAUCCAAA
ensembl:lncRNA LINC00550 long intergenic non-protein coding RNA 550